rnacentral:rRNA from 1 species
GGUCUUUUGGAUUUUAAUAGAAGGUUUAGCCUGCUCACUGAGAAUUUUGAAGAGCUGCAGUAUUAUGACUGUACAAAGGUAGCACAAUCACUAGCCCCUUAAUUAGGGGCGGGAAUGAAAGGCAAGACAGAAGAAUACUGUCUCGGGUUUAUUUUCUUUGAAUUUUUCUUUUCUGUUAAAAGACAGAGAUACCAAUAAAAGACAAGAAGACCCUGUUAAAGUUUACUUGGCUAGGCGCGAAAAAUGAUUUAUGUUUGUUGCUGUGGCUGGUCUGGUUUUGCUGGGGCGGCAGAUAUAGCUUCAAUAUAAGGAAAAAUAAGGUGGUUAAAUAGAGUUGUGAGCCGGGAAGGCCGAAUGUAAGAAGAAGUUACUAAAGGGAUAACAGCGUUAUAUUAUUUGAGAGUUCAUAUUGACNAUAGUNUNUGNNA